UGCAGAGUGAUUUUCAUGAACAUCAUUACUACCCUGUUGCAGCAGAAGCUUAAUCUCUCUGAAACAAGAGCAGCUGAGUAGGAGUGAGUCACCCUCGUUCCAGUAAGGAAGCCCCUUCAGGAAGCCUCUCUAGCAAUGAUGUCCUGUGCAGCCCUGAUCCGCCACCGACCUAUUCAGCUUUAACAAUGCUGACAGUGUGUAAUACUGCCCCGGAAACCUUCAGAGAUUGCUUGUCAGACAUAGCCAGUGUCUCCAGUGCCCAGGCAGCUAAUCUAGCAGCAGACAGAUCUCGGCCUGACAUCCCAUGAUUCAUUGACCCUUUGGGGCAAAAUCUCCCUUUGGAAGUGAAGCAGCCUUCUGUGUCUCCAAAAUCACCAGUCACUCUGGAAACCUGAGAAAUAGCUCACUGAAGAAAACACAAAUGGAGUCAUGGCGCUUCACUUUUACCUCCAGACAAAGGGAAACCGAAUCAGAAACCCCAGGCAGAUGACUCACAGCCACGCUCGUGGAGCAGAUGAUAGAUGUCCAGUUAGCUGCAUCAUCUCCAGAAUGAAGAAGCUCUGGGUGGGUCUGGCUACCCACGGCUUUCACUUGGAAACCCCCCAUUUCUAACCUUCUAAGUAGCCG